rnacentral:misc_RNA from 1 species
AACGCAACUUGCACUUUCUGGAUCUACUAGAAAGUAUACUUGUUUGAGUAUCAGAAUAAUCUAUCCAACAGUUGUUGGGAAUUGAGACAUUACGAUAGUAAGUCUUUAAAUGUAUUGCGAUUAAAAGCGUGGUAAAAGACGGAUGUUCUUUCCCGCUGAGUAUAUCCUAAAUAUAUAUUCUUUGAAUUAUGAUCUCAAAUCAAGUAAGAGUACCCGCUGAACUUAA